rnacentral:rRNA from 1 species
AACGUAGGAGCCUAGCGUUAUCCGAAUUCACUGGGCGUAAAGCGCGUGCAGGCGGUUCGGUAAGUUGGAUGUGAAAUCUCCUGGCUCAACUGGGAGAGGACGUUCAAGACUGUCGGACUAGAGGACGGUAGAGGAGUGUGGAAUUCCUGGUGUAGCGGUGAAAUGCGUAGAUAUCAGGAGGAACACCGGUGGCGAAGGCGCACAUCUGGCCCGAUACUGACGCUGAAGCGCGAAAGCUAGGGGAGCAAACGGG